CCUUCCGUAUGAAAUUUUGAUAUUUUGAUCUUUUUAAAAAAAUUAUUUUACAAAUAGAAAAAAAAACUUACAUUUUUAUCACGCCAACACCAUUAGCGUCGUUGGGACGGCGUCAAUGUCAUUCACGUUGUACUAUACGACGACGACGGCGCCAAUGACAUUAGCACGGUCAAAAAGAUCUAUUUAUACCAUAAGUUUUUUAGUGGUCUAUUU
rnacentral:lncRNA from 1 species